UUAUUAUUAGAAUUUAUUAAUAAUAAAAUCUGCUCAAUGAAGAUUAAAUAGCCGCAAUAUGUGCUAAGGUAGCUUGAUAACUUGUUUUUUAAUUGAAAACUGAACAAAUGAUUUAACAUUUCAAGCCAUUUUUUAAUUUUAACAAUUAAAAUUAUUUUAAAUGUAAGAAAACAUUUUUAAAAAAAAAAGACAACAAGACCCUAUUGAAUUUUACUUAAGUUUAGCUGGGGUAGCUAAUUAACUAAUAUUUUAAAAAAAUAUACAGUUUCAUUUAACUUCUUUAAGAAAUAUAACAAUAUUACCAUAGGGAUAACAGCGUCAUAAUAUUUAUAAGCUCUUAUAUAAAAUAAUAAUUUGCGACCUCGAUGUUGAAUUAAUUUUCUUAUUUAAUGCAAUCAUUAAUAAAGUAAGUCUGUUCGACUUGUAAAAAUU
rnacentral:rRNA from 1 species